CCUUCAGGCUUUUUGCUGUAAACACUGUCUUUUCAGAGAAAAUGCAGUGUUUACAUUACAGCCUAGUGAUAAGUUCACUGGCCACUCCUCAGAUGGUUGUUAGAGAUCCUUCCUGGGUCAUGGCUGCCUAAAAUGCAUCCAAACAUUCAGUGUCUCCUCCCUCUGCAUGCAGACAUUGAACUUUCCUCAUAGAGAUUGGCCAGGGCUGUGUUUGAAUUGUGCUCGCU